CAUAAUGCCACCUGGAUUCAACAUUGAUAAUAUAUUCAAGCCUAAUAUCUACGUGGGUUAAAACUCAACACUAUUUGCCACGUAGAAGACACUAGCUAGAGGUGGUAUCCAACGAAGACAUGCCACGUAACAACACGUAGCUUGCCAUGUCAAUCGACGCUUCAGCAGCAUGACUUAGCUCCGGUUACUCAAACCAGAAACCAAGGGUUCCGAUUCAAUAAGAUGAUAAUCUGACCGAUUGACUGGUGCGCAACUGCGCAUGAUCGUCUUCCGAUCGACUCUCUAAUAUCACUCGAUUUAGACCGUAAGCUUCGUCGGAAUUAGAAAAUGACCGCUGGUUGAUCAAACUUACCGGCAAUGGCGCAACGUCGUGUAGAACAUUUACUCAAGAAGUGGAACUACUGCUGAGUGCUGACCAGGUUGAUUUCGGGGUUAUUUCAAAGUAAUGGAGUUUUAGUUAGAAAGAGUGGCAGUUUUGAACAGAAGUGAGAAUUUGGAGUUUUGUUGCAGAAACAUUACCAACUUUAGGAUUUUAAAUAGAAAAAAACCAUGAAAUGUAAUAGAUAUGUAAGUCUGCAACUGAAACAGAAUUUAAAAGGACAGAUUUUAUAAAGAUUUAGUGAGAAAAAUGGAGCCUUCUCUUGAAUUUUAAAUUAGUGGUGGUGAAAUUGGCUGAAGUUUAAGCUGAGGGGGUGAAUUGUGGAUAUUAGAGAGAAGGAAAAUAAAAGCAGAAUAGGCGUGCAACCUCGUUAUUUGAAAGGAACAGAGAUUUCAAAUGAAAGGUGUGAUGUGAGUAUUUCUUUCUCUUAUGUUCUGCUGCAUAAAUUUAUUUCAUUGGACACUGUUUUUUUCAUAGAUAUGUGAGAUGCUUCAGUUAUUGUAUAGUUUCACCUUUUUCAUUUCCCAAUUUUGCCCUUUACCAAUUUAUGACCUACUUUAUAACCUUAACAUGCUAUAUAAAGAAUUUUUUAAAAAAAAUAGACCACAUCAUUUGUGAACUAGUCACUUUUAAAUACAUCAUUAACCGUGUAAAAGUACAAAAUUAUAUUAAUGCCGUCAUUUUAAUAAUGUAUUUUAAAGUGAUUAGUUCAGUAGUCAUCUGCAGUGAACUGAGGUGCUGUUUUAGGCACUCCCAAAUCACUAAUCAGACAUCAUUUUGAAUAGGAAAUGAAAAGGAUAUAAAAGUCAAAGUGUGUUUGUAUAGUUUAGUAACGUUAAAGACAUUCACGCAUAACAAGGUACCAUAUCACUGUUCAGCAGUUUCACUUAGCAGUUUAUUUUUGAAAGAAAAUAAUGUUUAAUCCGAAAAAGAAAAAAAUAGUAUGAAUUAAGAGAAUCAUUAGGCAAUUAAAAAGGGUGCGUGCCGUUAAAGGUAAUUCAAUUGUUUAAUAUUGCAAUUGUGCUUAUAAAAAUGAUGGUUUUCAAUGCUAACACUCUCUACCUCUUACAUUUCUAUACCUUCUUCUACUACUUUAAGUUGGAGUCAGCGGCUGAUUUAUAAUUCUUUCUAACCCAAACUUAAUUUUAAAUUCAUGUUCAAUUUUCGGCAGCUCCAACUUAACCUCCUUCUAACUAUAAAUUUACUACAAUCUACUUCUAACUUAAAACAAAGAAAUUGAUUCCAGAUGAGUUCGGAGCGUACUCUAGUCCGAGGGUGGUCUCGCUCCUUAUUGGAGUGGGCGAAAAACUGAUUAAAACCGGAAAACCAAUCGAAAUGGUAAAUUCGACUAUGUUUGAUUUAGUUUUAUAAAAAAAUAAAGUGUCCAGUUUGGUUCGUUUUUAGGUGUAUAAAAUUUAGCGAAGUUUUGAUGUAAACCAAAAAUGAAUUAUUUAACUGAAUUGAGUGAACGACAUGACCCUGAUUGGUUUGAUUCACUAUCAUUUGAAAAUUUAUGCUUUUUCAAAGUUUUGGCUCAAAUGGGUUUUAAAAGAAACGGAAUUUUGGUUUGGUGUGGUUUGGUUCGGUUCGGUUCGGUUUGAACCAUUUAUUACAUGGACUGAUAGAAUCCAUUUUAAUCAAUUCAUAGUAGUACAUAUCCACUAGUCCUGUUUGUAAAAUUAAUGGUAUGGUUGAAUAUUGAAUUGUUGAUAUAAUUCAAACUUUCCUAAGUGUAAAUUAUACUCAAUUUUAGUACUUGUUACCUGCUUCAAACUCGAUUGAGUCAAUUUUUUUACCGUUACACGUAUAUAACAGGGAUUUGCUGUAGUAUUAAAUUUCCAAUAAAUUUGUAUGAAAAUUAAGCAAAUUUUUAAUAAUAGGUUGAAGAUGUUAUUUGUCUGGACUGUUCUUGGAAAGAAUACUCUAUAUGCUCUGCCAAGUUUAAAACACCCAAGUCAAUGUCUUUUUUUAUUAUUUACAUUUUGUAAUUUUAUUACAAUGAAAGGACUAUUUUGUCCUAUUUACUGGAACUUAAUGCAUUGUCCACUCUCUUCUUCCUGAAAAUCAUGGCAUUUUUGCAUACCCCAUCAAGCCAAAUGUGAAAAUCAUAAUGGAGGUAAAUUCAAAUUUGUGAUUAUUGUAAGAAAAUCGAUAAUUGUUACCUCGAGUUGAGGAUCGAGUCCGACAGUACAAAUACAAAUGUAAAUAGUGGGCCUAUUGAAAUGUGGAUCCACGUCAAUGAAGACCCAGUUACUUGAAGUGGGCCAAGCAGGAAGCUUUUUCCUUCUGUCACCGUGUAGUGGGUUCUUUUCGGGUUCAGAUUCAGACCAGAUUUUAAACAAAAAAAUUACUAACCCAGCCAGGCCUGAUACAGACGAGUCUAGCAGACGAGUACCCAAAUUCAUAAACAAGUCUAAGAGAAAUAAUAGAGCAUGAAAAAAAAAUGCAAGGUGGAUCUGUUUCAUUCAUCUCCAUUCCAAAUAAACAUUCAAAACCUUCAUAUUAUUGGAUUGAAGAUUUUUUUCUAUUCUACAAUAAUUUUAGAUUCAUCAUCAAAAUUUCAUUCUAACAUGUAUAUGUCAUUUUAACAUUAAUCAUAAUUUUU